rnacentral:rRNA from 1 species
AACGCGAAGAACCUUACCUAAGCUUGACAUCCUUUUGACCGAUGCCUAAUCGCAUCUUUCCCUUCGGGGACAAAAGUGACAGGUGGUGCAUGGUUGUCGUCAGCUCGUGUCGUGAGAUGUUGGGUUAAGUCCCGCAACGAGCGCAACCCUUGCCUUUAGUUGCCAGCAUUAAGUUGGGCACUCUAGAGGGACUGCCAGGGAUAACCUGGAAGAAGGUGGGGAUGACGUCAAAUCAUCAUGCCCCUUAUGCUUAGGGCUACACACGUGCUACAAUGGGUGGUACAGAGGGCAGCCAAGUCGUGAGGCCGAGCUAAUCCCUUAAAGCCAUUCUCAGUUCGGAUUGUAGGCUGAAACUCGCCUACAUGAAGCUGGAGUUACUAGUAAUCGCAGAUCAGAAUGCUGCGGUGAAUGCGUUCCCGGGUCUUGUACACACCG